rnacentral:misc_RNA from 1 species
GAUGAAGAACGCAGCGAAAUGCGAUAAGUAAUGUGAAUUGCAGAAUUCAGUGAAUCAUCGAAUCUUUGAACGCACAUUGCGCCCCCUGGUAUUCCGGGGGGCAUGCCUGUCCGAGCGUCAUUACAACCCUCAAGCUCAGCUUGGUGUUGGGCCCCGCCGCCCCGGCGGGCCCUAAAGUCAGUGGCGGUGCCGUCCGGCUCCGAGCGUAGUAAUUCUUCUCGCUCUGGAGGUCCGGUCGUGUGCUCGCCAGCAACCCCCAAUUUUUUUCAGGUUGACCUCGGAUCAGGUAGGGAUACCCGCUGAACUUAAGCAUAUCAAAAGCGGAGGA